GACGAACCGUGCGAACGUUGUUCGGAAUCACUGGGCUUAAAGGGCGCGUAGGCGGCCCGCCCAGUCCGAGGUGAAAGCCCCCGGCUCAACCGGGGAAGGGCCUUGGAUACUGGCGGGCUCGAGGGGGAUAGGGGCGGACGGAACUUCCGGUGGAGCGGUGAAAUGCGUUGAUAUCGGAAGGAACGCCGGUGGCGAAAGCGGUCCGCUGGGUCCCCACUGACGCUGAGGCGCGAAAGCGUGGGGAGCGAACAGG
rnacentral:rRNA from 1 species